AGCUCCAAUAGCGUAUAUUAAAGUUGUUGCCGUUAAAAAGCUCGUAGUCGAACUUCGGGUCCUGUCCGCCGGUCCGCCUUCUUGGUGUGUACUUGUUGGAUGGGACCUUACCUCCUGGUGAACAGCGAUGUCCUUUACUGGGUGUCGUUGCAAACCAGGACGUUUACUUUGAAAAAAUUAGAGUGUUCAAAGCAGGCCUUUGCCCGAAUACAUUAGCAUGGAAUAAUAGAAUAGGACGCGCGUUCCCAUUUUGUUGGUUUCUGAGAUCGCCGUAAUGAUUAAUAGGGAUAGUUGGGGGCAUUUGUAUUCCGUCGUCAGAGGUGAAAUUCUUGGAUUGCCGGAAGACAAACUACUGCGAAAGCAUUUGCCAAGGAUGUUUUCA
rnacentral:rRNA from 2 species